rnacentral:tRNA from 2 species
GCAAAUAUAGUUUAACAAAAACAUUAGAUUGUGAAUCUAAAUAUAGAAGUUAAAACCUUCUUAUAUGCC